GGGGAUGCAAUGGUUUCGACGGGAAUUGCAAGCCUUAGUAAGCGAGUAGCGGGGCGGUAUCCGCUAUAAAAGCCGCAAUUGUUUAUAAAUUAAACAACAAAAAAGAAUUACCAGUAGCUGCUUAAGCUACCGUCUCCUCGAGGAUUACCGCGCCCUAGCGUGAGGCGUCGAUUAGCGGUGAACGUGAAUAAAAGCCUGUUCUUGCUUUUAUCAUGAAUUUAGAACUACCGAUAAAUAUAGCCUGUCAUUAGGCGAUAUUCGGAGGGAAUUUUAAAGUAAUGACUAAACUCGUAGAAAGCUUUGGUAAACGGUUUUCGGACAGGGGUUCAAUUCCCCUCAUCUCCACCA
rnacentral:sRNA from 1 species